rnacentral:misc_RNA from 1 species
GAUGAAGAACACAGCAAAAUGCGAUAAGUAAUGUGAAUUGCAGAAUUCAGUGAAUCAUCGAAUCUUUGAACGCACAUUGCGCCCGCCAGUAUUCUGGCGGGCAUGCCUGUUCGAGCGUCAUUUCAACCCUCAAGCACAGCUUGGUGUUGGGACUCGCGUUAAUUCGCGUUCCCCAAAUUGAUUGGCGGUCACGUCGAGCUUCCAUAGCGUAGUAGUAAAACCCUCGUUACUGGUAAUCGUCGCGGCCACGCCGUUAAACCCCAACUUCUGAAUGUUGACCUCGGAUCAGGUAGGAAUACCCGCUGAACUUAAGCAUAUCAAUAAGCGGAGGA